UAGCGAAAUACCUCGUCACUUAAUUAGUGACCUGCAUGAACGGAGCUAUGAGGUUCUCACUGUCCCAAACUGUCUCUCAGCGAACCAACUGUAGUGGGAACGGUCACUAGAUAUCCAGCGGGGAAAGAAGACCCUGUAGAGCUUCACUUUGGUCUAGUCUUGUAUAGUUCCUGCGGGGGUGUAGACUAGGUGGGAGAGCAAUCGAUUCUGAAAAACCACUACCCUGUUUGGAAUUAUGCUUACCUAUCACAAGGAAUAGGACUAGAUAGAAAGUUUGGCUGGGGCGGCACACCUUCGAAAGAGCAGCGAAGGUGUCCUAAGUUGAGCUCAGUGAGGACAGAAAUCUCACGUUGAGGAUAAGGCCAAAAGCUCAAUUUACUGUGCCUUUUUGUACUAGGAUCAGUUACGAAAGUAAGGCCUAACGAUCCCUAAAUAGCCUCAGGUGCGUGAGGAUUGGGGUGACAGACAAGUUACCUCCGGGACAACUGGCUUGUGGCUGCUAAGAGAUCAAAUCAACGCAGCUUUUUGAUUCUUCGAUGUCGGCUCUUCCUAUCCUAGUGAUGUACAAGUUGCUAAGGGUCGGAUUGUUCACCCGUAUUAGGGAUCGUGAGCUGGGUUUAGACCGUCGUGAGCCAGGUUUGUUUUAUCCUACUGGAUAUAGCAUCAUGAUAGUAGAUUGAUUUAGUACGAGAGGAACUGUUGAUUAUGGCCUCUGGUUAGCGAUUAUCGGAAACGGUAUGUCGCGCAGCUACGCCGUCUGGGAUAAUGGCUGAAAGCCUCUUAAGCCAGAAGCCCAUCUAGAAAGUGAUGCACGUGAUGUUGGACCGAUACGAAUAAUCAUACUCAAAAGGUCCGCUUCAUAGGUAACCCAAUGUAGAAGACAUUGUGUGAACGAAGGUACUGUAAGCAGUGGAGUGGCAUUACGUCCACGACCUGUUGAGGUUCAGCUUCGCUUCUAGGUUUCC
rnacentral:ncRNA from 1 species